GCCUGGGUGGCUCAGUCGGUUAAGCAUCUGACUUCGGCUCAGGUCAUGAUCUCGCGGUCUGUGGGUUCGAGCCCCGCGUCAGGCU
rnacentral:tRNA from 1 species